rnacentral:lncRNA from 1 species
UGCCAUGCGGGAUGCCCGCAGAGGCUUCUCCCAUCCCUCAGUCUGCGUCUCCCCUGCCUGCGCCCUGGGUGGGGUGGGGAUGAACCCUAUCUUGGCCUAGAACUUUCUUUUCAACCCCGACUAAGCCCACCAUUCAUUUCCUGCAUCUGAUCUUCCUUCGCACCCACCUACUUUGUCCAUUCUGGCCACCACUCGGACCUUGACCCCAUGUCUGGCCUUUAAGGCUCCCAACUCAGGCACCAGGUCCGUACCUCUUCCAGGUCCCGGCGCUGGAAGUUUCUCCGGCCCCGACUCUAGGCUGUGUUCCUUCACUAGAUCUCUCUUCGCAUUUCUCAGCUGAGUCAUUGGCCAUUCCUUUAUUGGAGCCCUCAAUCUAAACCCAAAUGUACCCUUGAUUUCCUAUCUGCCUCAGUUUCCCUGUUCACACAGUCCUA